rnacentral:rRNA from 1 species
GCGGCCGAUGUCUGAUUAGCUAGUUGGUGAGGUAAAGGCUUACCAAGGCGACGAUCAGUAGCUGGUCUGAGAGGACGACCAGCCACACUGGGACUGAGACACGGCCCAGACUCCUACGGGAGGCAGCAGUGGGGAAUUUUGGACAAUGGGGGAAACCCUGAUCCAGCCAUGCCGCGUGAGUGAAGAAGGCCUUCGGGUUGUAAAGCUCUUUCAGCCGGAACGAAACGGUCACGGCUAAUACCUGUGAUCACUGACGGUACCGGAAGAAGAAGCACCGGCUAACUACGUGCCAGCAGCCGCGGUAAUACGUAGGGUGCAAGCGUUAAUCGGAAUUACUGGGCGUAAAGCGUGCGCAGGCGGUUUUGUAAGUCAGAUGUGAAAUCCCCGGGCUUAACCUGGGAACU